GACAUAACAUCAGAUGAUGCAAAUUUGUAUACUAGACCUGAACGAGGUCACCUUUCAGUUGAUUAUACAUGCAUGAAGUGGUUGUCCCUAGACAGAAAGAAAAAAAGGAAGCUAGGAAGUUCAUUGCUGGUAUUAGGAACACAGGCAGUGGUGAUGUUUUGGCACUCGAUGUGUCUGCUGGUCAAUUGAAGUGGACACUCAGUGAUUGCCAUCCUGGGGGUGUUAGUGCUAUUUCAUUUUCAACGCG
rnacentral:misc_RNA from 1 species